rnacentral:rRNA from 1 species
UACGAAGGGGGCUAGCGUUGUUCGGAUUUACUGGGCGUAAAGCGCACGUAGGCGGCUAUUUAAGUCAGGGGUGAAAUCCCGGGGCUCAACCCCGGAACUGCCUUUGAUACUGGGUAUCUUUGAGUCCGGAAGAGGUGAGUGGAAUUCCGAGUGUAGAGGUGAAAUUCGUAGAUAUUCGGAGGAACACCAGUGGCGAAGGCGGCUCACUGGUCCGGUACUGACGCUGAGGUGCGAAAGCGUGGGGAGCAAACAGG